UGGAGUGUGACAAUGGUGUUUGUAUCAUCUGUCGUCAAACGCCAUUAUCACACUA
rnacentral:pre_miRNA from 2 species